rnacentral:rRNA from 1 species
UGCAGUUAAGCUCGUAGUCGGAUUUUGGCAUCACGCCGAACUGUCAGCCGAUUGGUUUGUACGGUUUGGCGGGUGCUCUCCUUCCGGAAGCUCGUUCCCUUCUUAGUUGACGGGUUCGAUGGUUCCGGGUCUUUUACUUUGAAAAAAUUAGAGUGUUCAAAGCAGGCCUAUGCUCUGAAUAGGUUAGCAUGGAAUAAUAGAAUAGGACUUUGGUUCUAUUUUGUUGGUUUCUAGGACCGAAGUAAUGAUUAAUAGGGACAGUUGGGGGCAUUCAUAUUCCAAUGUCAGAGGUGAAAUUCUUGGAUUAUCGGAAGAUGAACUUCUGCGAAAGCAUCUGCCAAGGAUGUUUUCAUUGAUCAAGAACGAAAGUUAGGGGAUCGAAGACGAUCAGAUACCGUCGUAGUCUUAACCAUAAACUAUGCCGACUAGGGAUCUGGAGGCGUUAUUUUAUACGACCCUUCAGGCACCUUAUGAGAAAUCAAAGUCUAUGGGUUCCGGGGGGAGUAUGGUCGCAAGGCUGAAACUUAAAGGAAUUGACGGAAGGGCACCACCAGGAGUGGAGCCUGCGGCUUAAUUUGACUAAUCGAAUUCCCGCGGCC